ACCUUCAUUCUGGUAGACUAUCUGAUCGAUGACGAUAGGAUGCUAAGAAUGUGUUUCAAAUGACUUUCGAACACCUCUUCGUAGUAUAGAGGAUUGAUGAAUUUAUGCUACGAAGUUGUAUUUUAGAGAUGAAUUAUGUUUUGUGCGUACCUAGUGAACACUAUGCCGCCUGGGGCGAGGAUCUGGUGUUGGCAUUGAGGCCGGGAGAAAUAAUCCCUAGCGAAAGGCUGAGGGACACGGAGACAGGCAUUGGGCCGGGAGGGAGAUAUCUCUGGCUACGGGCACAGAGACUGAGGUGCAGGCAUUGGGCCGGGAGUAUUAUUAUUCAGUGCACUCACUAGCAGCACAAUUUGUGUUAUGCUUCCUGAUACGAUUUCUGAUAUGAUUUUCUGAGAUUGAUUUGCAGAUAGAUAUAUGAAUUGUUUUAUGGCAUGCUAGAGUUUUCAGAAAAGCUAUCACUUAUUAUGCUAGUAGUUUUCAUUAUAUAAACUGUGGGGGUUAGUAUGUUCAUAACUGUUUUUGUACUAUGUAUAUAUACAAGAUUGGUCCAAGGCAUACAAUCCCGGCAUCAAGGUACUUUCACAGCGGCAUCUCCGAGUCCUCUCGGGUACUCAGUUUUUGGUUCAAUAUUAACAAUCGGCGGAGUGAUUGGUGAAUUGGUAAAUGUAAGAACAGCGGAUCUCAUUGGUCUUAAGAGACAAUGUGGCUGUCCGAAACAUUCAGUACUGCAGGGUGGCUGCGUAUAGCAUUUGCACAGGUUUCUUCUCUUUCCUGUCUCCAUAUACAUAUGAUGAAUGCAACGUAUUGUUUUCUAUUUCUCUCUUUUUUCCUGCCUGCCUUUUGUUUUCUUCCCUUAUUGGGUUUCAAUCAGUAGUUGAGUUCAAUGCUUGAUGGUAGAAUGCUUGGUGGCUGGAUUUUGGACGACUGUUUUUGGGAUUUGGCAUUGGGUUAAGUAUGUACGUGGUUAAUGCAAACUCCGUCUCGUUCUUCUUCAAAUUUAAAUCAGUUUCUAACAUAUCCAUAUAAAACAUAUAUAAAAUGAUCAAGUUCUCUCCCAUUAACAGGUAGAAUCAAUUACGGUACACUAGUUUGCAGGCUAAAAUUGAUAAAUAAAAGGACCUUUACGCUGCUCUGCAACGUCUUAGAGGAAAAAUUCUUAUAUAUCUCAAGAAGCAGCUGAUAUCAUGGUAACUUUCCAAAUUCGAACUUCAUAUUAUCGUUUAAAGGUUAUUUGUUUGGUAUCCUGAACUUGAGGAAUUAUUUUGGAGAUAAAUUAUGUUCUUUAGCUUUUAAAAAGAAUAAGACAUAAUAUUAUAUCGUGGCGGGAUUAUACUAUGAUCUUUCAGCAGCAGUCAGAAAGAAUGCUGGACUUGUUUCAGCGAAGAUACGCUCACUCACUGAUUGUAAGCUUUUUCAAAGGUAAUACGAUUGAACAAGUCAUUUACUGCAUUACCUUUUCUUUUCAUGAGGUGUCUUACCUUUCUACGGAUAUUUUAACUGGAUUAGGUUGGAGCUGGAUUGAUGGUACUGUAAGAAUAAACUCUAACAGUUCAUCAAUCUAAAGAACAUGGAUACAACCAAUUAAAUCACAACUCCACUUAACCAAUAGAUGAACAAAAACAUGAGAAAAGCUCGAGAACUUACCUGCAGAAUUGGAACCAGAUGAAGAAGCCAUUGCGACUUCACAGCUUACUGCCUUCUCCUCUUUUACAAAUCUCAAUGGUUCUUCCAGACAAUAGGACUUGGAACUCUAUAUAACCGUAUAUUGCAAGAGCAGUGGCAUAAGCUUUUAUAGCACUCCUAUUGUCAUUCCCUAUCAGAAUAGACUUAGGAUUCAAACAUCACAAUUGAUACAACAUAUCAAUCCCAAACAUGUUCUAUUACCGAGUUCUAAUCCCACAAGGAUUAUUCAGAAUCUCACAAAACUUAUUCCACAAGGAAACCAAAUAAGUUAAGGCUUUUGACCAAGACUUUUCCAUAUCAAUCUUAAACACAAGAACUGAUUCCUUCCAUAAUUCAUACUCAUAAACUUACAGGUACUACAACAAUUUGGGGGGUCCAGUGCAGCAACAUUUUAUGGAAAUCAUAUUUUCUGCUAUACAGCAUUUGAUGCUGGAUCGAAAGCUUUUAUUUUGCUGUAUAGCAGAAAAUAUGAUUUCGUAUCCAUUUUCUGGCAGAUUGAUGACAUUGAGGUUUCACCAUAAAAUCAAUGGCAAUAUGGGGACUAGUCCAAGAUCAUAUAAGCACAUAGCAAACCUUGUCCCUCACUGAUGUGGGACAACUCUCAACAUGCCACCGCACGUAUGACGAAUU